rfam:Poecilia formosa, whole genome shotgun sequence.
CCAACGGCUCUUUUCAGAGCCACCCACACUUCUUGGAGAUUGUCCU